rnacentral:rRNA from 1 species
ACAUAUCUGCAGUCGAGAUUCCUACGGGAGGCAGCAGUGAGGAAUAUUGCGCAAUGGAGGAAACUCUGACGCAGCAACGCCGCGUGGGGGAUGAAGUUCUAUGGAGCGUAAACCCCUGUAAGUAGGGACGAAAGGUAGAUAUUCGAAUAGGGUAUUUAUUUGACGGUACCUACAGAGUAAGCUCCGGCUAACUCCGUGCCAGCAGCCGCGGUAAUACGGGGGGAGCGAGCGUUGUCCGGAAUUACUGGGCGUAAAGGGCGUGUAGGCGGUUUGAUAAGUCAGAUGUUAAAGCCCUCGGCUUAACCGGGGAUUGUCAUUUGAAACUGUCAGGCUUGAGUGCGAGAGAGGGUAGUGGAAUUCCCAGUGUAGCGGUGAAAUGCGUAGAUAUUGGGAAGAACACCAGUAGCGAAGGCGGCUACCUGGCUCGCAACUGACGCUAAGGCGCGAAAGCGUGGGGAGCAAACAGGAUUAGAUACCCUGGUAGUCCACGCUGUAAACGAUGAACACUAGGUGUUGGUUUGCCGCAGGCUGAUCAGUGCCGCAGUUAACGCAUUAAGUGUUCCGCCUGGGGAGUACGAUCGCAAGGUUGAAACUCAAAGGAAUUGACGG